rnacentral:rRNA from 1 species
YUKYWGRRKKCGCCCUUAGAGUUUGAUCCUGGCUCAGAACGAACGCUGGCGGCGUGCCUAACACAUGCAAGUCGAACGUGAUUGGGGAGCUUGCUCCUCAUGAAAGUGGCGCACGGGUGAGUAACGCGUAGAUAAUCUACCUGAUGAUCCGGGAUAACACUUCGAAAGGGGUGCUAAUACCUGAUAAGCCCACGGAGUCCUUGGACUCUGCGGGAAAAGGGGGGGAUCGCAAGACCUUCCGUCAUCAGAUGAGUCUGCGUACCAUUAGCUAGUUGGUACGGUAAAGGCCUACCAAGGCGACGAUGGUUAGCUGGUCUGAGAGGAUGAUCAGCCACACUGGAUUGAGACACGGUCCAGACUCCUACGGGAGGCAGCAGUGGGGAGUUUUGCGCACUGGGGACACCCUGACGCAGCAACGCCGCGUGAGUGAUGAAGCCUUGGUCGUAAGCUCUGACAGAGAAAGAGUGCAGGAGCUAUACCUCCUUGCUGACGUACCUCAAGAGCACGGCUACUCGUGCAGCAGCGCGUAUACAGACGAUCAGCACACUGCGCAGUUACUAGUGAUCGAGCUCGUACAGCUGCGUAUCAUGUCUASUGGUUYCG